AUAUGAUGUAAAAAACAAAAGGUAUCAAAAAUAUUUCAUUUUUAAAAAUGCCUAAAGUGUAUUUGCCCAUAUCUAUCUGCAAGAUUAUGCAGUUCUAAAAAUAAACUAUAUAAAACAUAGGAGCACACAGAAGAAUGAAAGAACUCAAUUUUGGCACCUCCUUCAACCAAUGAGGUGAAUCUUUGAAAAUGAACAUUAUCCACAGAAAGUCAGAGCUGAGAGGGGCCCUAAAAAAACCCAACUCCUUACAAUGUCUAACUUCCUAAAGAAAUUAAGUCCCAAAGAGAGGAAGUCAAUGCUUGGCUAAUGGAAAAACCAGAACUAGAACAAAACUAAGUCUGCUGAUUUGUAGUUUCUAUUGGUCUGACUCCCGCACCUUUCAUUUAGAGGACUAUAAUUCUCCUGUUUUAGUAGAGAAUAGUGAACCUAAAAAAAAAAUUCCAAACAUUAAUGUAGUGCCAAAGAACCUGGUAAUUUUUUUUUAUCUUCAUAAUCAUUUCCUACCUUUUCUAAUCAUCACUUAAGAAGGAUAAUUAAUAAAGCAACGAGAUUAUGCAUGAAAGCUAAUGCAACCCGAAGUUAUGGGUAGGCGUAGUGGCUGGGAAGAAUGGUAAAAACAAAAGCAAACCAAACGUCCAAUUUAGAAGGGGCUCGUGCCUUCGCAGCAGGAAAGUGAGUGUUAGAUAUCUUCGGUGGUUCACAGAGCAAGGAAAUAAACGACAAACUGUGAAAAGAGGGAAUCUUUAGCUCUGGCCCAAGGCGUGGAUUUUUUAAAAAAAGUGAUUUGUAGGGAUAGUUCAAACUCAGGCAGAGACACACCGUUCCCUGAGAAAGGAAGGAACUUGUUUCUUUCCCUACUCCUCCCCAUAUUGAGAGGAAUUCUGAGCAGGAAAUGGACAGGGAAUCACGGUCCAUACGUAAUCCUGCUCCUAAUUAAUCAUACAGAAAAGGGAUAGACAGCGAGGAAGAGGAAAAAGAAAUGUGCCCCUCUAGACUCGAGGUGAGCGGAUCUAUGUGUUCUGAGUCCCUUCUGCAGCCAGCAGCCAAGGCACCCAGCAACCAACGGCAGCAGGGACCACCCUUUGGAACCAACAAAGCUCACUUACAAGAACCGGAGAAGAUGGAGAGAGGAAAUUCCAUCUGGGUAUUAUAGACAGCAUUUGGAAGAAACCUCUCCGUUUCAGAACGACCAUCUGAUUCAGAUCUAGUGUUCCGCAAAAAUAGGAAGGAAGGAAUGUAUACAAAGAAUAACCUACCUGUUAUUUCAAGGAAGCAAGUUGUAUUUUUUUAAUAAUGUAAUGCCUAUGUCCUGACUGAUAGCAAAAUGAAAAACUGAAACUGAAAUCUCAAAUACUCCAGCUAAAAUUUGAAUUUUAUAGGACCAUAAAUUUAGAGGAGACCUUAGUCCAACUUCUUCAUUUUACAAAUGAGGAAAUACGGGCCAAGACUUGCCCAACCUCACACAGAUAAGUAAAUCGACCUAGCCCCUUUGACUCUAUAUCUAUUCCUUAAAAAACUACCAGUGUUUCUGAUAGAAUGGGAAAAGCCUGGACUUUGAGUCCACUUGGAACUAGAAGACCUAGAUUGAAGUCCUGGUUCUACCACUUUCCAGUUCCGUGAAUUCCACUUUAUUAGCCUCAGUUUCCUUAUCUACAAAAUAAGGGGAUUGGACCAAGUGAUUUCUAAGAUCCCUUACAAAGUUCUAACAGCCUAUGGGACCAUUCUCCACUUUUCAAAGCACUUUCAAGUAUGUUAUUUAAUACUGUACCAAUCAAACUACCAAGGGGAUACUUUAUGAGGUUAAAUAAAAUAAUAGCAAAAUUCA
rnacentral:lncRNA from 1 species